rnacentral:lncRNA from 1 species
UCUCUGAAUACGUAGCAUUCAUUUGCACACCUGCAUACCUUUGCCUAUGCCAUUUCCUUUGUCUGGACUGCUGUCCUCACUUUUCUUCAUCUUGUUGACACUUGCCUCCCUUAAGACUUAUGUCUCCUCUGGGAGAUAUUUGGUUAUGUGUCCCUUUGCUCAUCAGAUAUAAUAAGCCUGAGCAUAUCUCAGCAUUUGCUACAUUACAUUGAACUUGACUAGUUACAUGUCUGUAUCCUAUUCUAGACUCUAGGUAUUCGCAUUUCACAUACUAUGCCAGUCAUCUUGAUGCUUCCAGCACUCAUUCUGAAAUCAGAGUCAUAGUACAAAUGGAAUAAAUAUGUGUUGAACCAAAUUGAUUAUUUAACAUUAUCUUGUUCUUCUACCAUCAACACUGCCUAAUUUCCCAAUGUUCUGUUGUGACCUGGGAAUUUCCAGAAAUUAUCCUUCUUUUUUCUUAUGUGGAUCACUGAAUAAAGCUACUAAUCUCCUUCAUAAUUAUAGGGCAGCAACAUUCUUUAUAAAUGGGUUAUAACAAAAGUCGUAUCACUGGGACUCAGGUGGGAAAAAUAACCAAGCAUAAAUUAGCUUUCUGUGUUAACACUUACUAUAUAUAUAAAUUAUAUAUAUAUAUAUAAUUUAAAUUGCAAGGAACAUUUGUGUUACAUCUCAAUUUUGUUUUGCAGUAACUAAACUUGAUAUUAUUUGCAUAUUGGGAGUUCUACUGUUUUUUUUUUCUUUUUAAAUAUAAGAGCUCAAUUUUCAUAAAUUCAAAAAAAUUAUAUAAGCAUUUCUCAAUUUCAAUCUAGUUUCUAAAGUAUUGCCUAGAGAUACUUUCUUAUAGUUGCCAUAAACUCAGAAAAAAAUUAUAAUGGAAAUGCUGACACUGACACUCCUUGAACAAUGGUGGUUCUAGCAGGCAUCUCUGCAUUAUUAGUAAUAUAGUGCAGCCCCCAGUCUCCAAUUUCCAGACUUAAUCAGUAUUCUCCAAAGCACAAAGCAGACAAUCUUUUUGGUUCUUUGUGCAUUUUCCACAUCUUAGAAUUGCCCCUCUUCAAUUUUCCUAUGUGCCAUCCACCCUCACAUCCGUCUCACCUUAUAUCACUAUUCUUUACAAUUUCUUCUGGGCUUAGCUUUGUUACUACACUGAAAUCUUAUGCAUAAUUAUAUGAAGUUGCUAUGGAGAUUUUAUGUGAUUUGUCAUGAGGAAAAUCUAUUGUGUUUGAGAUAAUUCUCGGUACUAAUGACUCAGGAAUCCAUUUCACCCUCCUAUUUUCUCCGGGAUUAUAACCAACUGCAUAUAUUUGAAUAUCUAUAUGCAAAAGCCAUUUUAUAAAUAACACAACCAGAAAAGUUAUUGAAUUCACCACCCAGAUGAAGCACUUCAGUAUAGCCAGGUCACCAUCUGAUGAUUUAGAAAGAAUUUCUAAUAUGGUACUUUUUUUGAUUACCAGCUGAACUCUUGACUGUAUCCUUUAGGAAAAGACCUCAAAGAGGUUCUCCUACAAUAACAUCUCUUAAAAUUCCACCACUAAUUACAUUACAUAUAUUUUGGUGAGGGCAUAACUUAGAAAAUGUAAUUUUGGAGUCUAUAUUUAAUGACUGUGUGAAAUUGAGGGAAGAUAUAACAACCUUAUUAACAAUCAUUCAUUUGUUCUUUUUCUAUGGCACAGACUGUUUGGAGGUGGGAGCUAGGGGUAAAAUUGAUUAUUUGACAUUGGUCAAAGGCAAUCUAAACUAAAGACUAUAAGAUGAACAAUAUAAGUAAACUUUAUACCACCCAACAAGGUCAUGAUUUUAUUUAAUUUUAUUAUGUUUGUUUGUUUUGUUUUUGUCUUUUUAGGGCUGCACCCACAGCAUAUGGAGGUUGCCAGACUAGGAGUUGAAUCAGAGCUGUAGCCACUGGCCUACCCACAGCCAUAGCAAUGCCAGAUCUGAACUGCUUCUGUGACCUACACUACAGCUCUUGGCAACACCAGAUCCUUAACCCACAGAGCAAGCCUAGGGAUCUAACCUGCGUCCUCAUGAAUACUAGUCAGAUUAGUUUCUGCUGAGCCACGAAGGGAACUCUGAAGGUGAUGAUUUUAAAUCUUUCUUGCCUGACCUCCCCACUGCCAUCCCAGAAUGUGGAAAGUGUGUAAAUAUCACCCUGAUUCUCAUUAGACAACUCACAAAGAUCUCUCUUUGGGUCCCCAGGUUGUUAGAGCUGAUUUCAGGAUCAUGAUUAAUUGGUGGAGAGAAAUUUCCUAAGUCAUGUGUAGGUAGAAGAGAAGUUUGAUAAAUCCAGCACUUUGCCAUCAAGAGAAUGGCAUCCAGAGGAUAAAUAUAGAAGUUGAAGUCAAAUUUCUAAUGACAGGCAGACCAACUAUAGAAGAAACAAUUCCUCAGCAACACUUUGCCUGAAAACACAACUGAGUUACCAAUGUCCCAAACCAUCAGUUUUGAAGAGUGGGUUUACAUGCAGGAUGAUUUGAUAUUGUGUGUACCCAGAGAGAAAUCCAAGAGAAGCAGAAGAGAGGAAAGGUUAAUAGAGCUGGAGGGACUGAGCAGGAAGUUAUAAGUAUGGAGAUCAUAGCCGAUGUUCAUGAAAUCCUUCAAAAAGUACAGCUGAUAUUCUUUUGUAUUAAUCAGGGCUGGUGAGUAACCUGUAAAAGAUGGUGGCAAAGAGAAGAAAGAAUAAAACAGAGGAAGAAAGAGGAGAGGAUAUCAUAAAGAAAAUACCAUUCCCAGGCUGUGAUAAAGAGAAGGUGUAAAGAGGAAGCCUUCCUCAACAGGCUUGGCAAGAGGAAGUCUGCAUGUCAGGGCUCCUGUAGGAAUUGUAGGUAGGCCGACAAAGGACUCCAGUUUGGUCAGAUACUGGGUAAGUCUAGAUAGCCGGAGAGUCCUUUCUUUCUGUCCUGAUGGUAAUGCAAUGAAGUGCCAUCCUCCCAGAGUCUAAGAAUCAUCCAUACAGGGCAUGUUAGCUAGUGUCUGAUAAGUUUCAAAGCAGGUGAUAGAGCUUGGGAAUAGUGCUCCAUGUCCCAACUGGUUAAGAGGGGAAAAUGUUUCCAGAAACAACAGAAGAUCAUUCAUAAAGCUGGAAGGGACUGUAACCAAUAAAUGGUUUAAGGGUCUUUUCUUUUCCCUUAAAAAAAAUUUUUUUUUAAAUUUGUUUUAUUUUACGGCCAUACCGGAGGCAUAUGGAAGUUCCUGGGCAAGGGACUGAAUCUGAGCUGCAGCUGCAAGCUAUGCCACACCUGUGGCGAUGCCAGAUCUUUAACCCACAGCACUGUGGCAGGAACUCAUGAGGGUAUUUUCAUGGAAGGGGAAAAAAUAAGCUCAAAUGGAGAAUUCAUAACCAUCUUAUACAGAAAAGGUAGAACACAGCAAUGGUCGGAGAUAGCAGUGGUCAACCUCAAGCAGGAAACAAGGACUUACUCUACUGAUUGGAGACUUCUUGCUAAGGUCAUAGAGGCAGCCACAGAUGACUAUCAUAUGGGUUAGGGCUUCUCUCGGGGCAAUGAAUCUGAAAUGAGAGGGAGAGCCUUGCCCACCACACAACUAACAAAUGUACCUUGCUUUUAAAUUGGGUAGACCAAAGAUAAAAGCAGAGAAACUUGCCAUCAGAUCUCCAGUGACUUUGAAAUUCUCCAUAGAAAACUAAGGAAUUUGAGAGCCUAAGUAGACAUGCCCAGUUCAAGAAUGACUGCAAGAGGAAGGAAUAGAAUUUGGGGAGUAAACAGCAGAAUGUUUAGAAAAAUACAAAAGGGUUUGGUUGUCCCUAUCAAUAUUCCUUAAACAGAGCUGCAAAUAUAGACUGUACAGCUUCAGGGAUUUCCUCAGUAUCCUUAAGUCAUAUUUUAUAGAUCCACAAAAAUCUCAAUAAGUUUCUUCAAACUUUUAAUCUCAUUUCAGAGACAUACAAAUAAAUAUUAAAUAUAUUCUGAAUGUAUCAGUAAGCAACUUCUGAAUGGAUAUUGCCAUGUGGUCCAACAUCUUAUCUGUACUUUUGCUCAUGAUGCUUUUGAUAAAAGCUAAUCAAAAGAGAAUAGCGGUAGACUUAAUGGAUAAGUGGCAUAUUCCUGCCACAAGUAAAGGCAAUAAUGAUAUACAUGCACAUUAAACUAACAAAUAUUGUAUAGCUUGAAGGGUAAAAACUGGAAGAACUAUUAGGCUAACAUCCAUCACAAGACUGUACAGGGCUGCCAAACUCAAAAGGACCUACUCCUAGUAGAAAAGACCAUAAAAGACCAUAACUUGCAGGUCUAACAAAUGCUUCAGGAAAACAUCUAUCUGUCAUAUUUAAUCAAUGUCAUAUAUUUGAAUUUUAUUGCUCUUAUCAUUUUCAAUUUGUAAAUUUAUUUUGGUUCUGUAAUUAAAUGAGAAUAAGAAGCAUUAGGAUGUGUGGGAAGAAGAACAGAUCAUCAGGGAAAAGAAAUUUAAAUCUAUAAAAACAGUGUCAAAAAGUCCAGGGUAAGCCAUGGAUUACAAAACCUGAUGAGAUCUACAAAGACCAUUCAGUUAAGACUGUGUUUAGAGUUGGGUGACAAAAGGAUGGAUUUGACUUAUUGCAGGAUGCAAAUGAUGUGAUCCUAAUAGAAGGUAAGGGGAAAGCAGAAUCAUUUAAUUCCUAUUUUGCUUCUACCUUUGCUAUCAAGGCAAAUGAUCUCCAUGUGGAAAAGAAGAGGAAAAUGUGAAGCCCAAGAUAAGUGAAAGAGAUCCCAUGGGGAGGUCAGUAAGCUGCUUUGAAUAAAUCCAACACUUACCAAUCAAUUACACCCCAGGUAACAGAAAGAACUGCAGAUGGGGCUGUGGAAGCAUUGCUGGCAAUCCUUGGGGAAUUACAAUGUGUCAGAGAGGGGCCCAUAUUAAAAGCAGAAAAAUGUGUGUGCUUUUUUAAAGGACAUUUCAGAAUGCCUUUUAUUUUCAGCAGCAAAGGCAAAAGCUGCAUUUAAAAGCUACAAAUGAGUUUUGGGGCUGAUCCCCCAACCCCCCCC